GGGUUGUGAGGUUAAGCGACUAAGCGUACACGGUGGAUGCCCUGGCAGUCAGAGGCGAUGAAGGACGUGCUAAUCUGCGAUAAGCGUCGGUAAGGUGAUAUGAACCGUUAUAACCGGCGAUUUCCGAAUGGGGAAACCCAGUGUGUUUCGACACACUAUCAUUAACUGAAUCCAUAGGUUAAUGAGGCGAACCGGGGGAACUGAAACAUCUAAGUACCCCGAGGAAAAGAAAUCAACCGAGAUUCCCCCAGUAGCGGCGAGCGAACGGGGAGCAGCCCAGAGCCUGAAUCAGUGUGUGUGUUAGUGGAAGCGUCUGGAAAGGCGCGCGAUACAGGGUGACAGCCCCGUACACAAAAAUGCACAUGCUGUGAGCUCGAUGAGUAGGGCGGGACACGUGGUAUCCUGUCUGAAUAUGGGGGGACCAUCCUCCAAGGCUAAAUACUCCUGACUGACCGAUAGUGAACCAGUACCGUGAGGGAAAGGCGAAAAGAACCCCGGCGAGGGGAGUGAAAAAGAACCUGAAACCGUGUACGUACAAGCAGUGGGAGCACGCUUAGGCGUGUGACUGCGUACCUUUUGUAUAAUGGGUCAGCGACUUAUAUUCUGUAGCAAGGUUAACCGAAUAGGGGAGCCGAAGGGAAACCGAGUCUUAACUGGGCGUUAAGUUGCAGGGUAUAGACCCGAAACCCGGUGAUCUAGCCAUGGGCAGGUUGAAGGUUGGGUAACACUAACUGGAGGACCGAACCGACUAAUGUUGAAAAAUUAGCGGAUGACUUGUGGCUGGGGGUGAAAGGCCAAUCAAACCGGGAGAUAGCUGGUUCUCCCCGAAAGCUAUUUAGGUAGCGCCUCGUGAAUUCAUCUCCGGGGGUAGAGCACUGUUUCGGCAAGGGGGUCAUCCCGACUUACCAACCCGAUGCAAACUGCGAAUACCGGAGAAUGUUAUCACGGGAGACACACGGCGGGUGCUAACGUCCGUCGUGAAGAGGGAAACAACCCAGACCGCCAGCUAAGGUCCCAAAGUCAUGGUUAAGUGGGAAACGAUGUGGGAAGGCCCAGACAGCCAGGAUGUUGGCUUAGAAGCAGCCAUCAUUUAAAGAAAGCGUAAUAGCUCACUGGUCGAGUCGGCCUGCGCGGAAGAUGUAACGGGGCUAAACCAUGCACCGAAGCUGCGGCAGCGACGCUUAUGCGUUGUUGGGUAGGGGAGCGUUCUGUAAGCCUGUGAAGGUGUGCUGUGAGGCAUGCUGGAGGUAUCAGAAGUGCGAAUGCUGACAUAAGUAACGAUAAAGCGGGUGAAAAGCCCGCUCGCCGGAAGACCAAGGGUUCCUGUCCAACGUUAAUCGGGGCAGGGUGAGUCGACCCCUAAGGCGAGGCCGAAAGGCGUAGUCGAUGGGAAACAGGUUAAUAUUCCUGUACUUGGUGUUACUGCGAAGGGGGGACGGAGAAGGCUAUGUUGGCCGGGCGACGGUUGUCCCGGUUUAAGCGUGUAGGCUGGUUUUCCAGGCAAAUCCGGAAAAUCAAGGCUGAGGCGUGAUGACGAGGCACUACGGUGCUGAAGCAACAAAUGCCCUGCUUCCAGGAAAAGCCUCUAAGCAUCAGGUAACAUCAAAUCGUACCCCAAACCGACACAGGUGGUCAGGUAGAGAAUACCAAGGCGCUUGAGAGAACUCGGGUGAAGGAACUAGGCAAAAUGGUGCCGUAACUUCGGGAGAAGGCACGCUGAUAUGUAGGUGAAGCGACUUGCUCGUGGAGCUGAAAUCAGUCGAAGAUACCAGCUGGCUGCAACUGUUUAUUAAAAACACAGCACUGUGCAAACACGAAAGUGGACGUAUACGGUGUGACGCCUGCCCGGUGCCGGAAGGUUAAUUGAUGGGGUUAGCGCAAGCGAAGCUCUUGAUCGAAGCCCCGGUAAACGGCGGCCGUAACUAUAACGGUCCUAAGGUAGCGAAAUUCCUUGUCGGGUAAGUUCCGACCUGCACGAAUGGCGUAAUGAUGGCCAGGCUGUCUCCACCCGAGACUCAGUGAAAUUGAACUCGCUGUGAAGAUGCAGUGUACCCGCGGCAAGACGGAAAGACCCCGUGAACCUUUACUAUAGCUUGACACUGAACAUUGAGCCUUGAUGUGUAGGAUAGGUGGGAGGCUUAGAAGUGUGGACGCCAGUCUGCAUGGAGCCGACCUUGAAAUACCACCCUUUAAUGUUUGAUGUUCUAACGUUGACCCGUAAUCCGGGUUGCGGACAGUGUCUGGUGGGUAGUUUGACUGGGGCGGUCUCCUCCUAAAGAGUAACGGAGGAGCACGAAGGUUGGCUAAUCCUGGUCGGACAUCAGGAGGUUAGUGCAAUGGCAUAAGCCAGCUUGACUGCGAGCGUGACGGCGCGAGCAGGUGCGAAAGCAGGUCAUAGUGAUCCGGUGGUUCUGAAUGGAAGGGCCAUCGCUCAACGGAUAAAAGGUACUCCGGGGAUAACAGGCUGAUACCGCCCAAGAGUUCAUAUCGACGGCGGUGUUUGGCACCUCGAUGUCGGCUCAUCACAUCCUGGGGCUGAAGUAGGUCCCAAGGGUAUGGCUGUUCGCCAUUUAAAGUGGUACGCGAGCUGGGUUUAGAACGUCGUGAGACAGUUCGGUCCCUAUCUGCCGUGGGCGCUGGAGAACUGAGGGGGGCUGCUCCUAGUACGAGAGGACCGGAGUGGACGCAUCACUGGUGUUCGGGUUGUCAUGCCAAUGGCACUGCCCGGUAGCUAAAUGCGGAAGAGAUAAGUGCUGAAAGCAUCUAAGCACGAAACUUGCCCCGAGAUGAGUUCUCCCUGACUCCUUGAGAGUCCUGAAGGAACGUUGAAGACGACGACGUUGAUAGGCCGGGUGUGUAAGCGCAGCGAUGCGUUGAGCUAACCGGUACUAAUGAACCGUGAGGCUUAACCUUACAACGCCGAAGCUGUU
rnacentral:rRNA from 1 species